UGCAGGACGGCCCGCCUCUCCUGGCCACGCCCUCGUCCCUCCGGAGACGCUAGCGCGCUGAUUACUGUGGAAAUUGGAUGAAGAUAAUUUGGAGGAUGUGUGGUUGGUUUUGGACAAUGUAAGCCUCCACAAACCCAGGAAGUACUGUGAUCUCGUUGGUGAGACCAGGCAUUCCUUACUAUUCCUGCAACCAUAUUCUCCAAUGAUGACUCCCAUUGAAGGAGUUUUUUCAAAGGUUAAGUUCUGCGCGAGAAAUAUUUGGCAGAUCCUUCAAACCAUGAACGUUUAUUAACCAUUCCGUAGCGACCAUUACUCCAGAAGAUUAUCCUAAUUUAUAAAUAUGUAUAUGAAAUUGCCACAAGCGGCGACAGGAGAACCAUUAUAAGGGAGAUUAUAAGUAAAUAAGUAUUUCUGACGUUAAAAAGUAUUUUAUGUUUAUUACUAUACCAGUAUACAUGCAAUAAAACAUUUUAACAACUUUG